AGUGGAAUUGCUGGGUCAUAUGGUAAUUUGUUAAGCUUUUAAAGAAACUACCAAACUAUUUUCAGAAGCGGUUGCACCAUUUUACAAUCCCACCAGCAAU
rnacentral:pre_miRNA from 1 species